rnacentral:rRNA from 1 species
CCUACGGGUGGCAGCAGUGGGGGAUAUUGCACAAUGGGGGGAACCCUGAUGCAGCGACGCCGCGUGGGUGAAGAAGCGCCUCGGCGCGUAAAGCCUCGUUUGUAGGGAAGAAAAUGACGGUACCUGUAGAAGAAGCCCCGGCUAACUACGUGCCAGCAGCCGUGGCAAGACGGAGGGGGCCAGCGUUAUCCGGAUUUACCGGGUGUAAAGGGGGUGCAGACGGGGAUGCAAGCCAGGAGUGAAAGUCCGGGGACCAACCCCGGGACUGCCCUUGAAACUGGGUGGCUGGAGUGCAGGAGGGGCAGGCGGAAUUCGUGGUGUAGCGGUGAAAUGCGUAGAUAUCAGGAAGAACCCCGAUUGCGAAGGCAGCCUUCCGGCGCCCUACUGACGCUGAGGCACGAAAGUGCGGGGAUCGAACAGGAUUAGAUACCCGAGUAGUC